rfam:Theileria parva strain Muguga apicoplast, complete genome, whole genome shotgun sequence.
AGAUGAUUAAUUUAAUGGUAAAAUGUUUAAUUUACAUUUAAAAUAAAUUGGUUCGAUUCCAAUAUCGUCUA